rnacentral:lncRNA from 1 species
GAACCCAGAGGCCAUGAGAGCAGUUCAUUGCAACCUUGAAUCGUGUUGCUGAAUGGAUAAAAGACAAUUCGUGAAAUAUUUCAAAGGAGAAAGAAUAGCUAUUCAUCUAGGCUCUCAGUCAGGUGCUAGUGCCAGCACAGAGAAAGGGAGGGAUAUUUUGCCUCAUUUGCCCAGAACUUAGAUUUGAACCAUGUCUAGUGUAAUAGGGGAACAUAUACCAAAUGAUUUAUAGAAAUUUGUUAUAAAUUUAGUCAAUAUUUUGGCACUCUUAUAAUAAACCAUAUUGAUGAGCUUCUUAUAGUUUCAAAAUUUCUUCUCUUUCCAAGGGUAAUUAAAACUGAAGGUAUCAUAUUUUAUACUACUGAGGCAGAACUGCUUCAACAGAGCUUUGAUAACCUGUUUGAAGAGCUCAGAUCUACAGAUGCUAUCUAGAUGGUUAGCAUAAUUUGUUUUUUGAUAACUGGGGAAAAAAAUUUAG